AAAAAGAUAAGCUAAAUAAGCUACCAGGUUCAUACCCUGAUCAUAGAAGUAAAAUCUUCUUCUUUUUA
rnacentral:tRNA from 1 species